UACAGAGGUCUCAAGCGUUGUUCGGAUUCAUUGGGCGUAAAGGGUGCGUAGGCGGCGCCGUAAGUCGGAUGUGAAAUCUCAGGGCUCAACCCUGAAACUGCAUUCGAUACUGCGGUGCUCGAGGACUGGAGAGGAGACUGGAAUUCAUGGUGUAGCAGUGAAAUGCGUAGAGAUCAUGAGGAAGACCAGUGGCGAAGGCGGGUCUCUGGACAGUUCCUGACACUGAGGCACGAAGGCCAGGGGAGCGAACAGG
rnacentral:rRNA from 1 species